GGGGAUGUAGCUCAGUGGUAGAGCGUUCGCUUUGCACGUGAAAGGCCGUGGGUUCGAUCUCCAGCAUCUCCA
rnacentral:tRNA from 1 species